ACAUAAACCAACAAAUAAAUAGACAUUGAGAAUACAGGUCAUUAUCU
rnacentral:misc_RNA from 1 species